rnacentral:tRNA from 1 species
GCCGGAAUAGCUCAGUUGGCAGAGCGGCGCAUUCGUAAUGCGUAGGUCGAAGGUUCGACUCCUUUUUCCGGCU